rnacentral:rRNA from 1 species
UGGGGAAUUUUGGACAAUUGGGCGAAAGCCUGAUCCAGCAAUGCCGCGUGUGUGAAGAAGGCCUUCGGGUUGUAAAGCACUUUUUGUCCGGAAAGAAAUCCUUGGCUCUAAUACAGUCGGGGGAUGACGGUACCGGAAGAAUAAGCACCGGCUAACUACGUGCCAGCAGCCGCGGUAAUACGUAGGGUGCAAGCGUUAAUCGGAAUUACUGGGCGUAAAGCGUGCGCAGGCGGUUUGCUAAGACCGAUNUGAAAUCCCGGCUCAACUGGGAACUGCAUUGGUGACUGGCAGGCUAGAGUAUGGCAGAGGGGGGUAGAAUUCCACGUGUAGCAGUGAAAUGCGUAGAGAUGGUGGAGGAAUACCGAUGGCGAAGGCAGCCCCCUGGGCCAAGUACUGACGCUCAUGCACGAAAA